rnacentral:pre_miRNA from 1 species
UAACCUCCAUAGGUUGGCCAGGCCCAGGCAGGGCUGGGUGAGUAGGUUUUGAAGAGCUCACCCUCCAGCAUAACUGGGAGC